rnacentral:ncRNA from 1 species
GCUUCGGGGCGGGGUGAGAUUCCCCACCGGCGGUAUAGCCCGCUAACCUCAUUUGAGGCCGAUCCGGUGAGAUUCCGGAGCCGACGGUAUAGUCCGGAUGAUAGAGGC